rnacentral:rRNA from 1 species
GAUGAACGCUGGCGGCGUGCCUAAUACAUGCAAGUCGAGCGAACGGACGAGAAGCUUGCUUCUCUGAUGUUAGCGGCGGACGGGUGAGUAACACGUGGAUAACCUACCUAUAAGACUGGGAUAACUUCGGGAAACCGGAGCUAAUACCGGAUAAUAUUUUGAACCGCAUGGUUCAAAAGUGAAAGACGGUCUUGCUGUCACUUAUAGAUGGAUCCGCGCUGCAUUAGCUAGUUGGUAAGGUAACGGCUUACCAAGGCAACGAUGCAUAGCCGACCUGAGAGGGUGAUCGGCCACACUGGAACUGAGACACGGUCCAGACUCCUACGGGAGGCAGCAGUAGGGAAUCUUCCGCAAUGGGCGAAAGCCUGACGGAGCAACGCCGCGUGAGUGAUGAAGGUCUUCGGAUCGUAAAACUCUGUUAUUAUGGAAGAACAUAUGUGUAAGUAACUGUGCACAUCUUGACGGUACCUAAUCAGAAAGCCACGGCUAACUACGUG